rnacentral:rRNA from 1 species
GAUGAAUGCUGGCGGCGUGCCUAAUACAUGCAAGUCGAGCGAACAGAUGAGGAGCUUGCUCCUCUGACGUUAGCGGCGGACGGGUGAGUAACACGUGGAUAACCUACCUAUAAGACUGGGAUAACUUCGGGAAACCGGAGCUAAUACCGGAUAAUAUAUUGAACCGCAUGGUUCAAUAGUGAAAGACGGUUUUGCUGUCACUUAUAGAUGGAUCCGCGCCGCAUUAGCUAGUUGGUAAGGUAACGGCUUACCAAGGCGACGAUGCGUAGCCGACCUGAGAGGGUGAUCGGCCACACUGGAACUGAGACACGGUCCAGACUCCUACGGGAGGCAGCAGUAGGGAAUCUUCCGCAAAGGGCGAAAGCCUGACGGAGCAACGCCGCGUGAGUGAUGAAGGUCUUCGGAUCGUAAAACUCUGUUAUUAGGGAAGAACAAAUGUGUAAGUAACUAUGCACGUCUUGACGGUACCUAAUCAGAAAGCCACGGCUAACUACGUG